UGUCCAAUGCGGGAAUCGAACCCGGGUCCUAGUGGUCGAAAACCAAACGGUUUAACCAGCCUUGAAAACUAAACAAAC